rnacentral:rRNA from 1 species
UACGUAGGGGGGCUAGCGUUGUCCGGAAUCAUUGGGCGUAAAGCGCGCGUAGGCGGCCCCGGUAAGUCCGCUGUAAAAGUCAAAGGCUCAACCUUUGAAUGUCAGUGGAUACUGCCGGGCUAGAGUCCGGAAGAGGCGAGUGGAAUUCCUGGUGUAGCGGUGGAAUGCGCAGAUAGCAGGAGGAACACCAAUGGCGAAGGCAGCUCGCUGGGACGGUACUGACGCUGGAGACGCGAAAGCGUGGGGAGCAAACAGG